AAAAAAUAAACGCAGCCAUGCUCUGCCUCACGGCGCUCCGCCCCGCGCCACACACCUCCGGCCAUGCCCCGCGCGCCGCCGGCGCCUCCCGCCCCGCCCCGCACGGCCUCACCGCGCGACGUCGACCGCCUCCUUCCUCUCCCAAUCCCAUCUCCUCCUCACCCACGGCUUUCUUCGCCGUUCACUGCUCCCCUCGUUGCGACCUCGCGGGAGGCAGAGGAUGGGAGGGUGCGGCGCUCGCGGGCCGAUCUGCGCCGCCAGGACUCGCCCGACCCGCGGGACGCUCGAUCCGGUGACGCACCAGUCGCCGGUCGUCGGCCCGGCCGACCGACGACGGAGAUCGCAACACCCUGCACCAUCAUUCUGCCUCAGCUCAUCCUUCCUCGAUGUGUGCUACCUGGGAGGGCGCGCGCUCGCCGCUCGACCAGAGCCACACGGCCAUCCGGUCGUCGUUGCACUCGCCGCCCCCUCUGCUCCUCCACCUCAACUUCGGACACACGUGUAUUUCUGUGCCCACCCCAUGCUACCAGAGGAAACCGCGUGCCAGUCUCUCUGGAUGAUUUUUAUUUUCUGCUGAGGAUCACGAGUUUGCACAGUUUCAUGAUGUCAAAUUACUGCAUAUGUGGUGCUUCUUGUCAAUAGGGAUAGAAUUAGCUGGUCAUAGGUCGUGGAUGUUCUUAGUUAUUUUUUGCACACAAGGUGUUUGGGUGUUUGUCUCCUUGAGGUUAACUCCCACAUGAAUACAUCAUGAGAAUAACUCUCCUUCCAUAUGAUUCAAAAAAUGGUAUGAUGGUGGAACUCAAUCGGGUUGCUAGACUAAUGUGGCGUUGGUGCGUGCAUCUGGAUGUACGUCAGUGUUCACAGCCAGAGGAAGUGGGUUGUUGCAGGCAGAGGCGGAUUAGGAUGAGUAUGUCACGAUUAGGAGAGUUCUCUUGAUCUUUAUCGGAAAAAUUGAUAGUUUCCUUGAUUUGUUUUGGUCUAGAUUAGCAAAGCAGUGCACUGAUAUUUGUUCUGUGGUGUAGGAGCUUCAAGACAGCAGGGGCAGCAGGCUUCGCUCAACAUAUUCAUCUAUGAUUUUCUCCCUGAUUUUGAAAUUAUUUGGCCCCUAUAGUCCCCUUGAGAAAAAUCAGAGUAUUUAUGGACUAUGCUCUACUGGUUGACAAAUUUGAUUGCAGGGGCUGGCAAAGUAAGUGCAGUGUCACCGUUGCACAUAUAUUCAGGGCCACAUCAAAUUUCAGUCAGAAGAACAUGACCAGGCAGGGUGCUUCAUGCAGUAUUGGGAGUGAGAAAGUUUGAUGUAUAAUCAGUGUCGCCUCCACUCUGCCCCGCCCCUGUGCUUUUUCCUCGAUGGAAAUGCGGGCCACCAUGCCGCUCACUUCGCGUGCAACCACUUCAUCUCCAACCUGUCGUUGGAGAGCAUUGCAGACCGAGCGGACAAACGACGAGGUACCUGACAUAGUGUUUGGACAGACUUAUUUCUGGUAGUAACUUCUCCAUUGUGAAACUACUUUCCACUACAGUAGCUUGCGGACAAUGUGGGCUACUACAAGACCGAGACCUGCAUAGAUGAUUACAUUUAGGAGUGAAUGGUGAAGAAAAUCACCAAAAUGGAAGGAGUUCUGUAUUAUGAUCUAUUACAAUGUGCUUGAAGCAAUACAGAACCAUGAUUAUACUUGGUAUAGUACAAACUAAAUGUACAAUACAGACUUCCAAGUAGAAUCUUUGGCCUACAGCUCACCUGUUAUCUGUCACUUUAGCAGUUACUUGGGUGGGACAACCAAUGUAUAGAUAAGAAAUGCCGAAACAAAGAUAAUCACCCCUACUAAGGUACAUAUUGGGCUUGUUCACAACAUCAAGUUAGACCUCUCGGCUCUUUUGAUUGGAUCGACUUCUUUUGACAAUGGAUACUCAAUGCGCCGUGGGUUACAGGUCACAUAUUUGUUCGGUGAGAACUCUGAGAAUAGGGUCUUCUUCCCUUUCUUCUUAAAACUAGACCAAGCCUUAUCCCAGUCGGUUGAUGAUGUAUCACCUGAAAAGUUAGAUAAGAGAAAUGAUUCAACCUGCAAACAUGUUUUCA